rnacentral:rRNA from 1 species
AAUAAAUACAAGUAAAAUUUAUUAUUUAAAGUUAAAAUGAAAUAAAUAAUUUAUAAUUAAAUUUAUUAGGUUAAAUUUUAAAUUUAAAAAAUUAUUAUAAAAAAAAUAUUUUUAAGCUUAAAAAUUUUAUUAAUAAACUAGGAUUAGAUACCCUAUUAUAAAAAAUGUAAUUUUAAAAAAUAGAGUAGUAUUAGUUAUAUUCUUGAAACUUAAUAAAUUUGGCGGUAUUUUAAUCUAUUCAGAGGAACUUGUUUUAUAAUUGAUAAUCCUCAUUAAAUCUUACUUAAUUUAAUUAAUUUGUAUACCAUCGUCAUAAGAAUCUCUUAAAAAAGAAAAAAUUUUCUUAAUAAUUAAUUAUUUAAAAUGUCAGAUCAAGGUGCAGUUUAUAAUUAAGAAAAAAUGAGUUACAAUAAAUUUAUUUAUACGAAUUAAAUAUUGAAAUAUAUUUAUAAAGGUGGAUUUGAUAGUAAAAUAAAUUAUAGAGUUUAUUUGAUUUUAGUUCUAAAAUAUGCACAUAUCGCCCGUCGCUCUCGUUAUUUAAAAUGAG